rnacentral:lncRNA from 1 species
GGCUAAAGGUCCGGCAGAAAAGCCCACGCCUAUCCCUUUUCCCCUCUCUUCUUCUGUUCUUCGUUUUGUUUCAGUUUCUUCUUUGUCUUUCUUCCUCUGUUCUUCUUCUUUCCUUCUUUUCUGUUCCUCUUCUCUUCCUUUUUCUUUUCAUCUCUUUUGUUCCUCCUCUUCUAUUCUUUCUUCUCCCCUUCUUUCUUCUUCUGCUAUCGGCGUAUCUGGUAUUUUUCUCUCCACCUUUUUCUUUCUUACCUCCUCCAUGCCUCUUUCAGCUUCAACUAACUUUCGUUCUGCUUCUCGUUUCUUAUCAAGACGUGCUUCCCGGCGAGUCUGUCUCUCAGCAUCAGACAUUCUUCACCCCAAUGAUGAAGCGAAACGAACACGAGAGAUUCUUUCUGAGGGAGUUUGUUCGAUCGAAGAAGAUAAUAGAGGUGACCCGUCCGAAGAAUUAAAAAAAGAAGAAUCAAUCAGAAUAAGCUGAGGAUUUACCUUGGUUGAAGCAGGGUAAAUUGGGGAUGAUUGAGGAAGGUCCUUCUCCGUAGUUGAUGGAA